rnacentral:rRNA from 1 species
GAACGCUGGCGGCAGGCCUAACACAUGCAAGUCGAGCGGUAACAGAAAGAAAGCUUGCUUUCUUUGCUGACGAGCGGCGGACGGGUGAGUAAUGCCUGGGAAUAUGCCUUAGUGUGGGGGAUAACGUAUUGGAAACGAUAGCUAAUACCGCAUAACGUCUUCGGACCAAAGAGGGGGAACCUUCGGGCCUCUCGCGCUAAGAUUAGCCCAGGUGGGAUUAGCUAGUUGGUGAGGUAAAGGCUCACCAAGGCAACGAUCCCUAGCUGGUCUGAGAGGAUGAUCAGCCACACUGGAACUGAGACACGGUCCAGACUCCUACGGGAGGCAGCAGUGGGGAAUAUUGCACAAUGGGGGAAACCCUGAUGCAGCCAUGCCGCGUGUAUGAAGAAGGCCUUCGGGUUGUAAAGUACUUUCAGUCGUGAGGAAGGCAUUGUAGUUAAUAGCUGCAGUGCUUGACGUUAGCGACAGAAGAAGCACCGGCUAACUCCGUG